rnacentral:rRNA from 1 species
UAGGGAAUCUUCGGCAAUGGGGGGAACCCUGACCGAGCAACGCCGCGUGAGUGAAGAAGGUUUUCGGAUCGUAAAGCUCUGUUGUUAAGGAAGAACGAGUGUGAGAAUGGAAAGUUCAUGCUGUGACGGUACUUAACCAGAAAGGGACGGCUAACUAAGUGCCAGCAGCCGCGGUAAUACGUAGGUGGCAAGCGUUGUCCGGAUUUAUUGGGCGUAAAGCGAGCGCAGGCGGUCAAUUAAGUCUGAUGUGAAAGCCCCCGGCUCAACCGGGGAGGGUCAUUGGAAACUGGUUGACUUGAGUGCAGAAGAGGAGAGUGGAAUUCCAUGUGUAGCGGUGAAAUGCGUAGAUAUAUGGAGGAACACCAGUGGCGAAAGCGGCUCUCUGGUCUGUAACUGACGCUGAGGCUCGAAAGCGUGGGGAGCGAACAGG